AAUGAGAAGUACCAGGAGCCUGAGCGGAAAGUGUUUCAGAGGCGCGUGUAAAUGCCCAGGGGCGCCAGGAGGCAGCAGCAACCGCACAGCGUGGGACGGCUGGGCGCACCGGAAGGGAAGCAACCGGUGCAGUCUGGCCUCCUGUACCUGGCUCGCCCGGGCUGGGGCUCCAAGCUUUCCAGCCAAACUUAGGUGAAGCAAAGUAGUUGCAGUUUGACAAAGGAUGGCGUUUU
rfam:Callithrix jacchus chromosome 11, whole genome shotgun sequence